rnacentral:rRNA from 1 species
AUUGAACGCUGGCGGCAGGCUUAACACAUGCAAGUCGAGCGGAGCGAGGGUGCUUGCACCUUAGCUUAGCGGCGGACGGGUGAGUAAUGCUUAGGAAUCUGCCUAUUAGUGGGGGACAACAUUCCGAAAGGAAUGCUAAUACCGCAUACGCCCUACGGGGGAAAGCAGGGGAUCUUCGGACCUUGCGCUAAUAGAUGAGCCUAAGUCGGAUUAGCGAGUUGGUGGGGUAAAGGCCUACCAAGGCGACGAUCUGUAGCGGGUCUGAGAGGAUGAUCCGCCACACUGGGACUGGGCCACGGCCCAGACUCCUACGGGAGGCAGCAGUGGGGAAUAUUGGACAAUGGGCGGAAGCCUGAUCCAGCCAUGCCGCGUGUGUGAAGAAGGCCUUUUGGUUGUAAAGCACUUUAAGCGAGGAGGAGGCUACUUAGAUUAAUACUCUGGGAUAGUGGACGUUACUCGCAGAAUAAGCACCGGCUAACUCUGUGCCAGCCGCCGCCGUAA